AAUUUGGUUUUCUAGGGUUCCGCGGCCGUAAACGGCCGGACUGGUCCGAGGGAAAACGCACGGAUUCCAGUCCGUGUCUACACGGAGGGAUAAAAGCCCGGGAGGU
rnacentral:sRNA from 2 species